CGCCUAAAGAGAAGCUUGCGGCUGAUUAGCUUGUUGGUAAGGUAAUGGCUUACCAAGGCGACGAUCAGUAUCUGGUUUGAGAGGACGAUCAGACACACUGGAACUGAGACACGGUCCAGACUCCUACGGGAGGCAGCAGUGGGGAAUUUUCCGCAAUGGGCGAAAGCCUGACGGAGCAAUACCGCGUGAGGGAUGAAUGCCUAUGGGUUGUAAACCUCUUUUUUCAGGGAGGAACAAAAUGACGUGUACCUGAAGAAUAAGCAUCGGCUAACUCCGUGCCAGCAGCCGCGGUAAGACGGAGGAUGCAAGUGUUAUCCGGAAUCACUGGGCGUAAAGCGUCUGUAGGUGGGUAAUAA
rnacentral:rRNA from 1 species